GAUGAACGCUAGCGAUAGGCCUAACACAUGCAAGUCGAGGGGCAGCAUAGAGUAGCAAUACUUUGAUGGCGACCGGCGCACGGGUGAGUAACACGUAUGCAACCUACCUACAUCAGGGGAAUAACCCGGAGAAAUUCGGACUAAUACCGUAUAAUACAGGGAUGCCGCAUGGCAAUAUUUGUUAAAGAUUUAUCGGAUGUAGAUGGGCAUGCGUUCCAUUAGCUAGUUGGUAAGGUAACGGCUUACCAAGGCAACGAUGGAUAGGGGAACUGGGAGGUUUGUCCCCCAGCAGGAAACGGAGACAGGGACCAGGCGCCUACGGGGGGCAGCAGUGGGGAAUAUGGGUCAAGGAACGAGAGUUUGAACCAGCCAAAUCGCGGGAAGGAAGACUGCCCUACGGGUUGUAAACUUAUUUUGUACAGGAAUAAAAGACAUUACGUGUAAUGUAUUGCAUGUACUGUACGAAUAAGCAUCGGCUAACUCCGUGCCAGCCGCCGCCGUAA
rnacentral:rRNA from 1 species